GACGAACGCUGGCGGCGUGCCUAAUACAUGCAAGUAGAACGCUGAAGGAGGAGCUUGCUUCUCCGGAUGAGUUGCGAACGGGUGAGUAACGCGUAGGUAACCUGCCUGGUAGCGGGGGAUAACUAUUGGAAACGAUAGCUAAUACCGCAUAACAGUAGAUGUUGCAUGACAUUUGCUUGAAAGGUGCAAUUGCAUCACUACCAGAUGGACCUGCGUUGUAUUAGCUAGUUGGUGGGGUAACGGCUCACCAAGGCGACGAUACAUAGCCGACCUGAGAGGGUGAUCGGCCACACUGGGACUGAGACACGGCCCAGACUCCUACGGGAGGCAGCAGUAGGGAAUCUUCGGCAAUGGACGGAAGUCUGACCGAGCAACGCCGCGUGAGUGAAGAAGGUUUUCGGAUCGUAAAGCUCUGUUGUAAGAGAAGAACGGGUGUGAGAGUGGAAAGUUCACACUGUGACGGUAUCUUACCAGAAAGGGACGGCUAACUACGUGCCAGCAGCCGCGGUAAUACGUAGGUCCCGAGCGUUGUCCGGAUUUAUUGGGCGUAAAGCGAGCGCAGGCGGUUAGAUAAGUCUGAAGUUAAAGGCUGUGGCUUAACCAUAGUACGCUUUGGAAACUGUUUAACUUGAGUGCAAGAGGGGAGAGUGGAAUUCCAUGUGUAGCGGUGAAAUGCGUAGAUAUAUGGAGGAACACCGGUGGCGAAAGGCGGCUCUCUGGCUUGGAACUGACGCUGAGGCUCGAAAGCGUGGGGAGCAAACCGGAUUAGAUACCCUGGUAUUCCACGCCUUAAACAAAGAGUGCUAGGUGUUAAACCCUUUCCGGGGUUUAGUGCGCAGCUAAAGCAUUAAGCACUCCGCCUGGGGAAUACCACCGCAGGGUGAAACUCAAGGGAAUGACGGGGGCCCGCACAAGCGGCGGAGCAUGUGGUUUAAUUUGAAGCAACGCGAGGAACCUUGCCAAGUCUUGACAUCUAUCUGCCAUUUCUAGAGAUAGAUGUUUUCUUCUGGGACAGACUGUACAGCUGGUGCAGCGUGGUCGUCAUCUCCUGUGGUCGGAUGUUGGGUUAUUUAUUCCAAUAGACGCGCCCACCCUCAUUAUUAGUUUUCCUCAUCUUAGAGGGGCGGUCUCGAGAAAUUCACCGUAGUUACACUCAGGAAGAGGGUGGAGAGGGUCAAAUUUUCACCUCCCUUAUGUGCUGGGCUAUACACAUGUUACAAUGUGUCGGGCACAGAGUUCCGCGCGGGUGAGAGCAUGAUCGUUUCUCAAACCCACUGUUCGUUUCUGGAUUGUGGGCUCUGCUUCUCCUACA
rnacentral:rRNA from 1 species